rnacentral:misc_RNA from 1 species
GUGUUUAAUUGGAAUGUUACUAUUGCCAUAAUCCAUAACAAAUAAUUAAAUCGUCAAAGUCUCAUUAAAUUCCUUCUGCAACCUCCCUAGGCUUUAGAUUAUAGGAAAUACUAGCAUUUGGCUUUAGUUUAAACGCAUAUUUGACUACUGCAUGAUUCUAUUCACUCUCUUUUAUACCCUGAAGAUGCAUAUGUUCCUCCUGCUCUAUUUAUUUUCUUAAUUUUCUGCAUCAAAAAUAUAAUUAAUCAUCCCCAAUCUGUUUGCAAUUCUAAAAACUUCUCCCUUGUCCUAAUCACCAAACAUGAUAAGAGCUAAUGAAGGCAGAUCAGUCCAAAUUUGUCCCAUAUCAAUGUAUUAAGCUAAAAGCAG